AGAGAUGUGUGAUGACGCAUAUCAAUAAGCGGAGGAAAAGAAACUAACAAGGAUUCCCUUAGUAACGGCGAGUGAAGCGGGAAGAGCUCAAAUUUGAAAUCUUCAAGGUUCUACCUUGACGAAUUGUAGUUUAAAGAAGUGUUUUCUGUUGGAGUUUUGGUAAAAGUUCUUUGGAAUAGGACAUCAUAGAGGGUGAGAAUCCCGUAUUUGACCAUUAUUUCCAACUUUGUGAUACACUUUCAAAGAGUCGGAUUGUUUGGGAAUGCAGUCCAAAAUGGGUGGUAAAUUUCAUCUAAAGCUAAAUAUUGGCGAGAGACCGAUAGCGAACAAGUACCGUGAGGGUAAAGAUGAAAAGAACUUUGAAAAGAGAGUUAAACAGUACGUGAAAUUGUCAAAAGGGAAGCGUUUGACACCAGUGUUGUUUUUCCGAAAAUCAAUUACGAAUGUUUUGUUUUUGAGGAGUUAUGACUUCAUCGGCUUGCUUCUUUCUUUACGAAACUUUCUUAAUGCACUUUUCGGUUAACAAGUCAACAUCAAUUUCUUUUGUUGUAAAAGAGGUACUGAGGAAGGUGGCUCUCUUUUCGGAGAAAGUGUUUAUAGCCUUGUACCUCUGCAAUCGGAGAGAUUGAGGUCUGCAGCGUAGAUCCUUCGGGGUUAGAUACAUUUGUGCUAAGUUAUAGCUUUUCAUAGGACAACUUGUUGAUUAUGUUAAGUCUUGUAGCUUACUCGCUUAUGCUAUUUUACCUACGCUUAGGAUGUUGACGCAUGAGAUAUACGC
rnacentral:rRNA from 1 species